rnacentral:rRNA from 1 species
GUGGGGAAUCUUGCGCAAUGGGCGAAAGCCUGACGCAGCCAUGCCGCGUGAAUGAUGAAGGUCUUAGGAUUGUAAAAUUCUUUCACCGGGGACGAUAAUGACGGUACCCGGAGAAGAAGCCCCGGCUAACUUCGUGCCAGCAGCCGCGGUAAUACGAAGGGGGCUAGCGUUGCUCGGAAUUACUGGGCGUAAAGGGAGCGUAGGCGGAUAGUUUAGUCAGAGGUGAAAGCCCAGGGCUCAACCUUGGAAUUGCCUUUGAUACUGGCUGUCUUGAGUACGGGAGAGGUGAGUGGAACUCCGAGUGUAGAGGUGAAAUUCGUAGAUAUUCGGAAGAACACCAGUGGCGAAGGCGACUCACUGGCCCGUUACUGACGCUGAGGCGCGAAAGCGUGGGGAGCAAACAGGAUUAGAAACCCGGGUAGUCC